UAUUAAUCAACCCAGGUCCUAGUUUAUUAAUCAACCCAGGUCCUAACCUAUUUAUCAACCCAGGUCCUAGCCUAUUUAUCAACCUAGGUCCUAGGCUAUUUAUCAACCCAGGUCCUAGCCUAUUUAUCAACACAGGUCCUAGCCUCUUUCUCAACCCAGGUCGUAGCCUAUAUACCAACCCAGGUCCUAGCCUAUUUAUCAACCCAGGUCCUAGUCUAUUUAUCAACCCAGGUCCUAGCCUAUUUAUCAACCCAGGUCCUAGCCUAUUUAUCAACCCAGGUCCUAGCCUAUUUAUCAACCCAGGUCCUAGUCUAUUUAUCAACCCAUGUCCUAGCCUAUUUAUCAUCCCAGGUCCUAGCCUAUUUAUCAACACAGGUCCU
rnacentral:lncRNA from 1 species